rnacentral:rRNA from 1 species
UUAAAAAGCUCGUAGUUGGAUCAAGAGUCGGACAGUGCACGGUGGCCCCAUUAGCCAGUUUGGCUCCGGUCAUAUUGGCGUGGCGAUCACCCGUGCGCCUAACUGUCCGCUCUAACAGACCGAAACGUUCCCUGUGAGUAGCCCCUUCAUUGGGGUCGAAAGCGCCUACGCAUCAACCAUAUGCAUACGGAACGUCGGUCAAAGUUACUGUGAACAAACCAGCGUGUCCAAAGCAGGCUUUCGCCUGAAUGUUCGAGCAUGGAAUAACAAGGGAUCGAUUCUUUCGGUUCUUUUUGUUGGUUUUUAACCCGAGAAGGGGUAAUUCAGGCCACGGUGUCUGAGUUGGGUUUCCCGAGGCUUCGGCUGAGGCCCCAAUUAGGCCGUGUCCUUACGGGACCAAUAGGGACUGACGGGGUCGUACGUACUUCC